AAGAUGAUACUUUCAGAGAACAUUUCUAUAGUAUGUUUCCAGAAAAGUGUUUCCAAACAGUGUGGGGCAUUGGAAACCCUGACGAUGAGCUGUAGUGCUCUUGAGCGGGAAGUUGGCCACUGGCGCCCCCUGGUGGAGAUACGGCUUGCUGUUGUUGAUUAUUUUCUUCCUUCAUGAAGGAGAAGAGGGCGAGAACACAGGCUAAGGGAU
ensembl:snoRNA U3 Small nucleolar RNA U3